GAGCUCGUGGUCUAGUUGGCUAUGAUACCGCCUUGACUCGGCAGUGAUCGGGAGUUCAAAUCUCUCCGAGCUCA
rnacentral:tRNA from 1 species